CACCGGCGGCUCAAGUGGUGGCCGCUUUUAUUGGGCUUAAAGGGUCCGUAGCCGGGCCAGUUAGUCCUCUGGGAAAUCUUACGGCUUAACCGUAAGGCUGCCAAAGGAUACUGCUGGCCUUGGGACCGGGAGAGGCAAGAGGUACCUCAGGGGUAGGAGUGAAAUCCUGUAAUCCUUGAGGGACCGCCAGUGGCGAAGGCGUCUUGCUAGAACGGGUCCGACGGUGAGGGACGAAAGCUAGGGGCACGAA
rnacentral:rRNA from 1 species